rnacentral:rRNA from 1 species
AUACGGGGGGAGCGAACGUUGUUCGGAAUUACUGGGCGUAAAGGGCGUGCAGGCGGCUCGGUAAGAGAGAUGUGAAAUGCCCUGGCUCAACCAGGGAACUGCAUCUUUGACUGCCGAGCUUGAGCAUGGGAGAGGAUGCGGGAAUUCCCGGUGUAGCGGUGAAAUGCAUUGAUAUCGGGAGGAACACCAGUGGCGAAGGCGCGCAUCUGGCCCAUUGCUGACGCUCAGGCGCGAAAGCUAGGGGAGCAAACAGGAUUAGAUACCCUGGUAGUCCUAGCCGUAAACGGUGGGCACUAGGUGUAGGAGGCAUCGACCCCUCCUGUGCCGCAGCUAACGCAUUAAGUGCCCCGCCUGGGGAGUACGACCGCAAGGUUGAA